UGGGUCUGUGGAACUACUUGGUGGUCAUUUCCCAGUCCCUGAAUAUGUAAUUAGAAUUAUUCUACUUAGUGGUAGGUGCAACCUCUACUUUGUAUCCUUGGCCUGUGAGGCAUCAGAACUGUUCUGACCCUAAAAUUAUUUGGUUCAGAAGAAAAGACUCAGCUCUAUGUCGAGCCAAGCUCCAAGAAAAAAAUAAUUCUCAAGGAUUUGUGGAUGAACUUUAUUCAUUACUGAUUUUUCCCAUAAAU
rnacentral:lncRNA from 10 species